ACCCGAUGCAAACUGCGAAUACCGGAGAAUGUUAUCACGGGAGACACACGGCGGGUGCUAACGUCCGUCGUGAAGAGGGAAACAACCCAGACCGCCAGCUAAGGUCCCAAAGUCAUGGUUAAGUGGGAAACGAUGUGGGAAGGCCCAGACAGCCAGGAUGUUGGCUUAGAAGCAGCCAUCAUUUAAAGAAAGCGUAAUAGCUCACUGGUCGAGUCGGCCUGCGCGGAAGAUGUAACGGGGCUAAACCAUGCACCGAAGCUGCGGCAGCGAUGCUUAUGCGUUGUUGGGUAGGGGAGCGUUCUGUAAGCCUGCGAAGGUGUGCUGUGAGGCAUGCUGGAGGUAUCAGAAGUGCGAAUGCUGACAUAAGUAACGAUAAAGCGGGUGAAAAGCCCGCUCGCCGGAAGACCAAGGGUUCCUGUCCAACGUUAAUCGGGGCAGGGUGAGUCGACCCCUAAGGCGAGGCCGAAAGGCGUAGUCGAUGGGAAACAGGUUAAUAUUCCUGUACUUGGUGUUACUGCGAAGGGGGGACGGAGAAGGCUAUGUUGGCCGGGCGACGGUUGUCCCGGUUUAAGCGUGUAGGCUGGUUUUCCAGGCAAAUCCGGAAAAUCAAGGCUGAGGCGUGAUGACGAGGCACUACGGUGCUGAAGCAACAAAUGCCCUGCUUCCAGGAAAAGCCUCUAAGCAUCAGGUAACAUCAAAUCGUACCCCAAACCGACACAGGUGGUCAGGUAGAGAAUACCAAGGCGCUUGAGAGAACUCGGGUGAAGGAACUAGGCAAAAUGGUGCCGUAACUUCGGGAGAAGGCACGCUGAUAUGUAGGUGAAGUCCCUUGCGGAUGGAGCUGAAAUCAGUCGAAGAUACCAGCUGGCUGCAACUGUUUAUUAAAAACACAGCACUGUGCAAACACGAAAGUGGACGUAUACGGUGUGACGCCUGCCCGGUGCCGGAAGGUUAAUUGAUGGGGUCAGCGCAAGCGAAGCUCUUGAUCGAAGCCCCGGUAAACGGCGGCCGUAACUAUAACGGUCCUAAGGUAGCGAAAUUCCUUGUCGGGUAAGUUCCGACCUGCACGAAUGGCGUAAUGAUGGCCAGGCUGUCUCCACCCGAGACUCAGUGAAAUUGAACUCGCUGUGAAGAUGCAGUGUACCCGCGGCAAGACGGAAAGACCCCGUGAACCUUUACUAUAGCUUGACACUGAACAUUGAGCCUUGAUGUGUAGGAUAGGUGGGAGGCUUUGAAGUGUGGACGCCAGUCUGCAUGGAGCCGGCCUUGAAAUACCACCCUUUAAUGUUUGAUGUUCUAACGUGGACCCGUGAUCCGGGUUGCGGACAGUGUCUGGUGGGUAGUUUGACUGGGGCGGUCUCCUCCUAAAGAGUAACGGAGGAGCACGAAGGUUGGCUAAUCCUGGUCGGACAUCAGGAGGUUAGUGCAAUGGCAUAAGCCAGCUUGACUGCGAGCGUGACGGCGCGAGCAGGUGCGAAAGCAGGUCAUAGUGAUCCGGUGGUUCUGAAUGGAAGGGCCAUCGCUCAACGGAUAAAAGGUACUCCGGGGAUAACAGGCUGAUACCGCCCAAGAGUUCAUAUCGACGGCGGUGUUUGGCACCUCGAUGUCGGCUCAUCACAUCCUGGGGCUGAAGUAGGUCCCAAGGGUAUGGCUGUUCGCCAUUUAAAGUGGUACGCGAGCUGGGUUUAGAACGUCGUGAGACAGUUCGGUCCCUAUCUGCCGUGGGCGCUGGAGAACUGAGGGGGGCUGCUCCUAGUACGAGAGGACCGGAGUGGACGCAUCACUGGUGUUCGGGUUGUCAUGCCAAUGGCACUGCCCGGUAGCUAAAUGCGGAAGAGAUAAGUGCUGAAAGCAUCUAAGCACGAAACUUGCCCCGAGAUGAGUUCUCCCUGACCCUUUAAGGGUCCUGAAGGAACGUUGAAGACGACGACGUUGAUAGGCCGGGUGUGUAAGCGCAGCGAUGCGUUGAGCUAACCGGUACUAAUGAACCGUGAG
rnacentral:rRNA from 2 species